ensembl:lncRNA
CUCUGCUUUCCUGGGCUACAAUAGGACUCACGAUCACUCUCUCUAUCGCUUUUUCUCUCGCUCUGGCCUUUAUCCCUCCCUGUCUCUUUCACAAAGACAUACACAUUGUCUAAUCAUUUUUAUGAGACAAAUAAGCAAAAAAAAAGGGCUCCUCAUGCCAGAACAUAGUACGUGGAAUAGUGUGUAUAAGAAUUAUGCAAAGUCUGGCUGCUUUUGAAGUUCACAACAUGACGCAAGCCCUUUGAGUGCAUGGGUUUUUAAAAAUAAAACUAAAUGUUUUAUGUGCUAUGCUAAGGAAAGCAUAGGGAGAUUGUUUUUGUGCAUACUGGUUCAACAAGAAUAAACACGUUCAGUUUAUUGCUCUGCCAUUGUGUGUCUGUAUGUUGUCAGAACCAGCAUUCCCACUGGACUUGGCAUUGUUUGGACUCUGUCUCAGGUAGAGCUGUUGGCCCAGCAGCCAGACGAAAGCAGGGAAACAUUUUCAUCACAAUGAAGCCUGUUCCUUGAUUCAUGUCUCACUCAGAAUCCCAAAGAGGCUGUUAAUUAUUCAGACAUGAAUAAAACCACCUGGCCCAAACCUUAUGGAGCUAGAAUAUGACAAAGAGACUGGAAUUUUGUAAAUAUUUAUUUUAGACAUUUGUCAUUUAACAAAAUGUUUUUUUAACUUUGUGAAUUUGGAUGCUUUAUAAUAUAACAAAAUGACAGCUUCGAGCGUUGAAGAUGAUUUCACAUUCUAAUUUCUAAAAAUCAAUUUUUCACUUUUCUAGCUCCAUAAAACCGGAUGCACAGCUCUGGUCCACGCAGAAAAGCGAGAUGAGGAGGAGGAAUGAGAGAAGAGGAGAUUUACGUAGAGGUCUGAGGAUCAGACGUCAUCCACCACAUCACAAUGACGGCAGGCUCCACGGCAACCAGCAAUUCUCAGAGGAAACAUAGAGACAUAAUUAGAAUAAAUUUUCAGCCACUUCUGUCUUACUCUAGUGU